rnacentral:rRNA from 1 species
GACGUAGGGCGCGAGCGUUGUCCGGAUUUAUUGGGCGUAAAGAGCUCGUAGGCGGCUUGUCGCGUCGUCCGUGAAAACCUGCGGCUCAACUGCAGGCUGGCGGUCGAUACGGGCAGGCUGGAGUUCGGUAGGGGAGACUGGAAUUCCCGGUGUAGCAGUGAAAUGCGUAGAUAUCGGGAAGAACACCGAUGGCGAAAGCAGUCUGCUGGGCUUAUCCUGACACUGAGACACGAAAGCGUGGGGAGCGAACGGG